AAUUAAUUUUUAAAUUUUAAAUUUGAAUACUCGUCCUGUCAAACUCCUCGUCAAAUUUGAUCUUUAUUCCUCUGACAUCUGAAGAAAAUAAGAGGGGGAAACAAGUCGAUAAAACGAACAUUCGCAAGUUCAAGGUGUUCCCUAAAGUGCCUUAUUUUUAGGAUUCCACAGGUUCUUGGAUACCUGGCGCUAUGGCGAUCGACUCUCAAAUUCUUCAAUGGGACGAGUCUCCAACUUUCAUCGUCCUUUUCACUUUUUUUCCUUCUUCGGCCAUCAUUUUGAGACACGGAACAGUCGAUGGUACUUGAAAUUGAAGGUGCAUCUGUGCAAAUAAUCCUAAGAAAAAAAAAAUAUGCAUCGUGAUUGUCCUACGUUCGUUCAAGGUGAUCGUGCCUAGUUUAUUCGAAAUAUGUGACAUGAAACGCAAAACAAUCAUCCUGAAUUGCAGAAAUUGAUGUCGAAUAUUUCUCAACGUAUUCAAAUAUUUCACGUUAAUCUUUUGCUUGUUUUCGUCGUGCUGCUAUCAUAGGAGCAUACUAAAUCAUUUAUUUUAUACACAUUCUCAGCGAGUCUUUUCAAUCGAGGACCUCGAAUUGCUGGUAUCAUUAAAAUCAAGCUAACAAAUGGACGUGCAAAGAAGGACAAUUUAUGGAUAUUAUUCUUAUCAUUCCUCUACGUUCAAUAGUUCCUGGCAAAUAUAACGCUUACAGGCGAUAAUGCACUUUUUCGUUGUAACGAUAAUAUCGUUUUGAUAUCGCCAUGUUGCAAUGAUUAGUCUAGGUACAUAACUAUAGUAGCGUGCAAAAGUAUUCGGCCACCGUUUGAAACAGAAUACCUCAUUUAAAAUUGGACCAAAUGACUUGAGGUUUUUCGAGAAGCUAUAUAAAUUAAUUU